CACUGACAAAACUUGGAAACUACUCGUCAAAAACCACCUACACAAGCUGUAUGUUAACGUGGAAUCGAAAUGGCGCAUUUUAUGUGGGGUUGUCUCUUAACAUUAUUUUAUAUGUGUUAACUAUCGUAGUUAUUUCUGGAUCGUUGCGACAAAAGUUGCAACUAAUUCAAAAACGUCGUAAAAUGAGGGUUGCGACAAGCCAUCCGAACGAGACGAUAAUAUUUGUUUUAGCAGUUUCAAG
rnacentral:lncRNA from 1 species